rnacentral:rRNA from 1 species
UACGUAGGGUGCAAGCGUUAAUCGGAAUUACUGGGCGUAAAGCGUGCGCAGGCGGCUAUGCAAGACAGAUGUGAAAUCCCCGGGCUUAACCUGGGAACUGCAUUUGUGACUGCAUGGCUAGAGUACGGUAGAGGGGGAUGGAAUUCCGCAUGUAGCAGUGAAAUGCGUAGAUAUGCGGAGGAACACCGAUGGCGAAGGCAAUCCCCUGGACCUGUACUGACGCUCAUGCACGAAAGCGUGGG